ACAUGGAGAGGGAUCUGAUAACCCCAACAUUCAAAUUGAAGAGACAACAAUUGCUCAAGCACUACAAGGACACUGUUGAUCAAUUGUACAGUGAAGGCAAGGGAAUAAGGGCGUGAGAGCAGGAUUGGAAGCCACAAAGUACAAACUGUAAUUUAGAUACCAACUAUUAUAGUCUCCCAUAAGUUUGGUUAUUUUUCUUUAUCUUGUCUAACAACUCUAGUGCGAGAAAAGCACCCAUACAUUUUACCCACAAUGGCUGGGUAUGCCGAUCCUUGUCCAUGUUUCUUUAUAAAUUAUAAAUAAAAAAUUGUUUGAGAUUUUCUA